rnacentral:rRNA from 1 species
AGAGUUUGAUCCUGGCUCAGGAUGAACGCUAGCGGCGGGCUUAAUACAUGCAAGUCAAGGGGUAGCAAUACACCGGCGUACGGGUGCGUAACGCGUAUGGAACCUGCCCUUAUCUGGGGGAUAACUCGGGGAAACUCGAGCUAAUACCGCAUAAGAUAGUAGAAUGGCAUCAUUCAGCUAUUAAAGAUUUAUUGGAUAAGGAUGGCCAUGCGUAAGAUUAGAUAGUUGGCGAGGUAACGGCUCACCAAGUCUACGAUCUUUAGGGGCUCUGAGAGGAGAAUCCCCCACACUGGCACUGAGAUACGGGCCAGACUCCUACGGGAGGCAGCAGUAGGGAAUAUUGGGCAAUGGGCGGAAGCCUGACCCAGCCACGCCGCGUGCAGGAAGACGGCCCUCUGGGUUGUAAACUGCUUUUAACUGGGAAGAAAAGAGGCCUUGCGAGGCAAGUUGACGGUACCAGUUGAAUAAGCCACGGCUAACUACGUGCCAGCAGCCGCGGUAAUACGUAGGUGGCGAGCGUUAUCCGGAUUUAUUGGGUUUAAAGGGAGCGUAGGCGGCUGAUUAAGUCAGCGGUGAAAGGUAGCAGCUUAACUGUUUUACAUGCCGUUGAUACUGGUUAGCUUGAGUUGACAGAAGGCAGAUAGAAUUCCUGAUGUAGCGGUGAAAUGCUUAGAUAUCAGGAGGAAUACCGAUUGCGAAGGCAGUCUGCUGCAGUCACACUGACGCUGAGGCUCGAAGGUGCGGGGAUCAAACAGGAUUAGAUACCCUGGUAGUCCGCACAGUAAACGAUGAUUACUAGAUGUUGGCCAAGCCAGUGUCCAAGGAAACCGAUA